rnacentral:lncRNA from 1 species
CCGGAAGGAAGGCCAUGAUUUCAGCUCUCUGGGAUUUGAGACAAAGAGGCCCCUUUUCUUUCAUUUUAUCUUUUCAUGUCUCUUCUUGCCAUGUACCCACAUGAUUGAGUGUGGGCUGAGGGUGAAUCCAAGAAGGGCUUUGUUUUGUGGUCAGUACAGGCUUUGGUCCACAGAGACAACAAUACUUUCAAUACUCUUUUGUUCUGCCCCAGAGGAGCUCAACACAGAAUUGCCUAGAACAAGAAACUGGAAUUGUACAUGGCGAUCAUCAGCAGUAUGAAGAGGAGCUGUGGGGCCAGUGAGAGAAGCUGCAGCCUGUUGAGACUCCACAAGACUGAAGAUAUGAAAAGAGGAAAUAUGCAUGAAUGCCCGCACGGAGAACCACCCCCACCUGCUGCUCCCGCUCUAAUGAUCACGCCCAUUAUCAACUGGGGGAUGGCUCUGUGCCUUGUCCUUGCAUUACAUGGACCAAGAACACUUCACAGGACUCAGAGAGGAACCCGAAAGGAAGAAGCUAUACGACUGGGGACACAUGUCUUAGAAGCACACUCAUUAGAUAAAGUGUCGCAUACUCUUUGAUAAGAGGUUGCUGAAGUCAAAAGCAGCUCACUCCCAGUUCACUGAGCUUGAGUUCCGGCUGCAACUUGGCCUUGAGAUUUUUGAAACGUUGAUAUGGAAGAUAAAGAAAAACGCAGAUUCCUGUCUUCUAAGGAACAAAGGCUGGAAGACAGUUCUGCAGAUUCUGCCUUUGAGGGAUUAGAGGGAUGUGCCCAGGACCAGAUCUUCAGUUAUGCAAAUAUACCUUAGAGACCACAGUAAGAAAGACAUCGCUCUGAAAUGCUCUGGUCCCAAGGAAAAUAUUGCUCUAUAUAAUAAUGGAAAACGUUGUCUGUGUAUCAUGCUGAGCUGCAUUUUAUUUUGUACCCUUGAGAGAGCUUUUAUUUUCUUAUAAAUAAGGAUUGGUCUUGUUCUGGGUCUGAAAACUGUUGUGUAUUUUUGAGAUGUCUAUUUUUCUUUUCAGUUGCCUGUAAGAGAUUGGGAGCCGAGGGCCUGAGGGUGAAGCCUCGUUUGUGCAGGUGACUGUGGGACUCUGGUGUAAGUAACGCUGGGCCCACCCUGGUAAUGAAGGAAGACCCAGGCCCAGGCAGGGGCGGUGUCACAGGCACAGGGGCUCGCACCCUGGGCACUGACGGUGGCUGUCGCACCAGGGCCGCUCCUUGCAGAAACCUCACUGAGCCUGUGCCUGUUGAGUAGCUUCAUGAGGAGCGGAUAUCAGGCAGAGAAAGCCCGGGCAAGAGAGUGACACACGGGGCUUCUGCCCAGAACACGUGCGCCCACAAUCCCGGGAGCUGUACAAAUCCCAAGCGGGGAAGCGGAGGCCUCGACAGUUCAUGAUGCGGACAUGAAUGGGAAUGCGGCCGCUUGCCACACCUCCUUCUUCAUUUGGGGAAAUGCUUGAAGGUUUGUUUUGUGAAUGCUAGGUUAAGGUUUGGAAGUUUAUUUUAAAAAUUGACAUCAUGGCCGGGCGCGGUGGCUCACGCCUGUGAUCCCAGCACUUUGGGAGGCCGAGGCGGGCGGAUCACGAGGUCAGGAGAUCGAGA